rnacentral:rRNA from 1 species
GUGGGGAAUAUUGCACAAUGGGCGCAAGCCUGAUGCAGCCAUGCCGCGUGUAUGAAGAAGGCCUUCGGGUUGUAAAGUACUUUCAGCGAGGAGGAAGGCAUUAAGGUUAAUAACCUUAGUGAUUGACGUUACUCGCAGAAGAAGCACCGGCUAACUCCGUGCCAGCAGCCGCGGUAAUACGGAGGGUGCAAGCGUUAAUCGGAAUUACUGGGCGUAAAGCGCACGCAGGCGGUCUGUCAAGUCGGAUGUGAAAUCCCCGGGCUCAACCUGGGAACUGCAUUCGAAACUGGCAGGCUAGAGUCUUGUAGAGGGGGGUAGAAUUCCAGGUGUAGCGGUGAAAUGCGUAGAGAUCUGGAGGAAUACCGGUGGCGAAGGCGGCCCCCUGGACAAAGACUGACGCUCAGGUGCGAAAGCGUGGGGAGCAAACAGGAUUAGAUACCCCGGUAGUCC